rnacentral:lncRNA from 1 species
CGCCCGCGUGCUGCAGUCAGUCGGAACGCAACCAAGCAGCACCGCUUUCAGCGCGGGGAUUGUGGGAUGCGGGCCCCAGUGUGUCCGGGCCCACCUAUUCGGAGCUAAGCUUUAGCAGCCGAGUCUCAAGCUUUAAGGACUGAUCCCUAGUCCGGUGGCUUCCGUAGCUUCAGAGGCAAGGAUGCAGCAGGGCUGGCACUCGCACCCGACCAGAAGCCUGAUUAACCAGAAGGGAGGGGGGUUCCUUUUGUCCUAACGCCCUCCCGGGACCUGAUAAAGAGCGACACAAUAGCUCGAGGAAGACAACUGCCCGUAGAAUGUCCUUCUUGGGGCAUCUGAUGGUAGGAUUUUUUGACUCCACACAUCACAGCGCUCUCACCUCAGCGUCCAGCAGUGCCUGCAACCAGGAAAGAACACCCGCGUAAGAACCUGUUUACUGCGAGUGUGUAGUCUGCUCGCGUCCUGGGUAGUGAC